UUGGGUAACACUAACUGGAGGACCGAACCGACUAAUGUUGAAAAAUUAGCGGAUGACUUGUGGCUGGGGGUGAAAGGCCAAUCAAACCGGGAGAUAGCUGGUUCUCCCCGAAAGCUAUUUAGGUAGCGCCUCGUGAAUUCAUCUCCGGGGGUAGAGCACUGUUUCGGCAAGGGGGUCAUCCCGACUUACCAACCCGAUGCAAACUGCGAAUACCGGAGAAUGUUAUCACGGGAGACACACGGCGGGUGCUAACGUCCGUCGUGAAGAGGGAAACAACCCAGACCGCCAGCUAAGGUCCCAAAGUCAUGGUUAAGUGGGAAACGAUGUGGGAAGGCCCAGACAGCCAGGAUGUUGGCUUAGAAGCAGCCAUCAUUUAAAGAAAGCGUAAUAGCUCACUGGUCGAGUCGGCCUGCGCGGAAGAUGUAACGGGGCUAAACCAUG
rnacentral:rRNA from 1 species